AUGAAAAAUUCUCCUUACGAAUAAUGCGUGCCACCAUGUAUCAUACGAACGAACCAUCGAAUAAUGUGCGUUUGCCACUAUUGGUACACCUGGUUUCAAAAUGACAAUGACAGAAUUCAAGCUAGAGUUUAGUUCAGUAUUGACGUGAGUUGAAUGCAGAGUUUCGGUUGUGUAUGCAUUGAAUCUGUUGUAAUAUCCGUAAAACGUGACUGAAGUUUUUGAAUAAAUAAAACAGAGACGCAGUUUAAAAUAUUUCAAGUUUUUCUUUCAUAAAUAAUGAAUACCAAAAAUUUGUUAACACAGUGCAUUGAUUUCAAACGAACAGGUAAUGGAACUUGAAUUAAGGAUUGUUCGUGAUCUCGUUACAGAGGCAUUUAUGAAAACGAUAAAAGAAGCAUCAAGUUUCUUGUAGUUUUCAAUUUUGAGGAAUUUGGUAAAUAGCAAUGAAUGUUUAAGAAACAUUGUGCGCAGUAUGCAUUUCUGGAUUAACAAACCGGCGGGGAGGUAUUACGGUUUUACUGGCCGCCGAUACCCCGCCACACCUCUGCCAAAAACAAACUUCAAUCAAUGUCGAUAUAAUCCAGAUUUAAGACAAAUGGUGACCCCACUUCAUCGAUUUCAAAAUCAGAAUGCUAUGGAAAAUGCAGCUGGUCCUAGUAAUUUAAAUAGUUGCAGAGCAUUAAGAACUACAUUAAGAACUAAUAAUGAGACCCAAAACAAUUACCCAGUUGACUCUACUCGACGCACUCAGCUAAACAACAUCUCCAACAAUGUAACGACUGCUGGAAAUAAUCAGUUGAUAUUGUCGAAUACUGCUACAAAUGGAACAAAUAGAAGUCUUUUAGAUUUUUCUGAAUUCAAUGAUGCAGAAUUAGCAAGUUACAGAUUACGAUGCGGUGUUUGGAUAACUUUUGUAUUUGCAACAGGAUUUGUUGCUGCUGCAAAAUUUUAUUUUGGUGAUCAUGGCCAAGGCAUAGAAGUCUUUGUAUUUUGGGGUCUACUAACGUUAUUAUUAUUGUUUGCAUGUUUAUAUUCGAUUUUAUGCCGUCGAAAUCAGCGCAAUAAUCAUCAAGAACAUCACAUUCAAGAGGACCAUAUUGCAUCUGUAACUACUACGAAUACAGUGUCCAAUGAGAAUAUUAGACCUAUUUCUGUAAUAAGGCAAAAUCCACCACCACCCUAUCAUAUUGCUAUUUUGAUUCCUCCACAUAAUUCGUCGGACGAAGCUCCACCACCGUCUUACGAUAAAGUCAUGCGAUGAAUUAACAUCGUUAAGUCGAUAUAAAAUUGUAUAGAAUGUUGUCACUAUUUUUUCAUAUAUUGCAUUUUGUAAGCUGAUCAAUAUUAUCGUCAAAGUGUGUUAUCAAACAUAAAUAUUUCAUCGACGAGCUUUUAAUUUAUGCAACCAAAAGAAAAAAAAAGAAAUGAAAUCAUUAACAUUUUCUCUAGGCUAGGUAAACUUUACAUCUGUGAUACAAAUAGUGAGGUAAUGUCAAGAUAUCAUUCUUUAUAGCAUUUACGAAUUAAAGGAAGCAUAAGAAGACUAUUGUGGGCAUUAUGUGAUGUCUGAAUAAAAAGAAAUAAAUGUGGUAUCUACAAAACUUAAGUAUCUGAAUAUCAAAAAGGAAAAGUAAUCAUCUUUUCAUGCCUAAGAAUAUACAUCUUUGUCACAGAAGAAAGUAAAGUAUAUAAUUUUAAUUUAUAUUAUUAUAUCCGUUUACUAAAAACGGCAAGAAGUGCUGUUUGCACAAAGAUUAAAUUUGGGCUCACCUUUGACGCAUGAAUCGUUCGCUCUUCCUACAAUCCGUAAAAUGUAAAAUGCUUCAAUACAAAAUACACUGAUUCUAUUAUGUAAGAUUAAAUAAAAAAAACAUAGGCUAAGCAUUGUAUAUGUUUUAUAAUACUUACUUAUACACGUGUACAUAAUAUAAGUAAAUGGAUAUACACAUACACGCAACGCAUACAUACGUACGUACAUUUGGACUAUAGCAUAAAUUCAAUCAAUAAAUAUAAAUGUAAUUUCAUGUUUGUUGUGUCUUUUUAAUAUCGAAAUUGCACAUACAUGUAAGUAAAUGAUAGUUUACAGAGUAAUUUUAUUUUGUAUUUGAAACAAAUUUAUAUAAUACAUUAUACAGAAAAUAUUGUAUUCAAUACUUAUAAUUAUUAACGAUCUUGAAGUUAUCUUUUUAUACGUUAAAAUGUAACUUGAAAUAAAGAAUCAAUCAAUUUUUUGUUCUGUUCCCUUUUUACAAUUUUUUUAUAUGAAAUUUAUUACAAAUCUCUAGGCAACAUUACAUUUGUAUAGCUUUAUCGCGUAAGAAUUAAACGUAGGCGCUUGUUUUGUAUGCACAGCAUAAAUGAUUGAUUGUUACUUUAUUAAGAAAAUAACCGUAUACAUUGAAAUGACACACUUUCUCUCUAGCUAAUAAUCAAAAUUAUAUAAUUGCAUCAAUAAAAGAAUUGCACGGAA
rnacentral:misc_RNA from 1 species